GCAGUGGUGGUUCAGAGGUAGAAUUCUCACCUUCCAUGCAAGAGACCCUGGCUCGAUUCCUGACCAACGCA
rnacentral:tRNA from 1 species